AGAUAGUUAAGAUGGCACUUGGCUUAAACUGUGUCGCACUAAGAAAUUCAACUUGUGUCGCACUAAGAAAUUCAGCUAUGAUGACAUUGCAUAAAAUGCUUAAACUGUGUCGCACUAAGAAAUUCAACAUUGCCUGGAAUAUUCCAUAGCAUGUCUGGCCAAUAUCCAAAAAGGCCCACGUGCUGAACAGAGGGAAUUGGUGCCAACAAAUGUAUGGAAAGAUAAGAGUAGGGACAUAGAUAGAAUAAGAUACCGCACGUGUCUGGCAUGAGCCUUGGGUGGUCACGACUGGCCUGAUCAACCAUACUGAUUACCUAAUGCGCAUGACAAGAUACAUGCUGGGCUGCACUGAUAAGAAAUCUUGGAAAAGUUACAAACUUGCUAAAAGGUAUAAAAGACGGAGAAACUUGGCACUCACUUGGAGAACUACCCACCUGUAAUGCGGACGCGUGUUGCUGGUCUCUGCUGUUCCCAGAGAGGGUCC